rnacentral:rRNA from 1 species
GUGCCAAGCAGCCGCGGUAAUUCCAGCUCCAAUAGCGUAUAUAAAAGUUGUUGCAGUUAAAAAGCUCGUAGUUGAACCUUGGGUCUGGCUGGCCGGUCCGCCUCACCGCGUGUACUGGUCCGGCCGGACCUUUCCUUCUGGGGAGCCGCAUGCCCUUCACUGGGCGUGUCGGGGAACCAGGACUUUUACUUUGAAAAAAUUAGAGUGUUCAAAGCAGGCCUUUGCUCGAAUACAUUAGCAUGGAAUAAUAGAAUAGGACGUGCGGUUCUAUUUUGUUGGUUUCUAGGACCGCCGUAAUGAUUAAUAGGGAUAGUCGGGGGCAUCCGUAUUCAAUUGUCAGAGGUGAAAUUCUUGGAUUUAUUGAAGACGAACUACUGCGAAAGCAUUUGCCAAGGAUGUUUUCAUUAAUCAGUGAACGAAAGUUAGGGGAUCGAAGACGAUCAGAUACCGUCGUAGUCUUAACCAUAAACUAUGCCGACUCGGGAUCGGUGGGCGUUACUAUUUUGACUCCAUCGGCACCGUACGAGAAAUCAAAGUUUUUGGGUUCUGGGGGGAGUAUGGUCGCAAGGCUGAAACUUAAAGAAAUUGACGGAAGGGCACCACCAGGCGUGGAGCCUGCGGCUUAAUUUGACUCAACACGGGGAAACUCACCAGGUCCAGACACAAUAAGGAUUGACAGAUUGAGAGCUCUUUCUUGAUUUUGUGGGUGGUGGUGCAUGGCCGUUCUUAGUUGGUGGAGUGAUUUGUCUGCUUAAUUGCGAUAACGAACGAGACCUUAACCUGCUAAAUAGCCCGGCCCGCUUUGGCGGGUCGCCGGCUUCUUAGAGGGACUAUCGGCUCAAGCCGAUGGAAGUUUGAGGCAAUAACAGGUCUGUGAUGCCC